GGACACGUGCCUGAAACUAAGGAUCACUUUGAUAGAGUGGACAUAGAGGUUACCAGCCCUCUCGUUUCCU
rnacentral:tRNA from 1 species